rnacentral:rRNA from 1 species
AUUGAACGCUGGCGGCAGGCCUAACACAUGCAAGUCGAACGGUAACAGGAAGAAGCUUUCUUCUUUGCUGACGAGUGGCGGACGGGUGAGUAAUGUCUGGGAAACUGCCUGAUGGAGGGGGAUAACUACUGGAAACGGUAGCUAAUACCGCAUAACGUCGCAAAACCAAAGAGGGGGACCUUCGGGCCUCUUGCCAUCGGAUAUGCCCAGAUGGGAUUAGCUUGUAGUCGGGGUAACGGCUCACCUAGGCGACGACCCCUAGCUGUAUGGAGAGGAUGACCAGCCACACGGGAACUGGGCCACGGUCCAGACUCCUACGGGGGGCAGCAGUGGGGAAUAUUGGACAAUGGGCGCAAGCCUGAUGCAGCCAUGCCGCGUGUAUGAAGAAGGCCUUCGGGUUGUAAAGUACUUUGAGCGGGGAGGAAGGGAGUAAAGUUAAUACCUUUGCUAAUUGACGUUACCCGCAGAAGAAGCACCGGCUAACUCCGUG